GUUGGCGCUGAUGAAGACCCGGACGCUGCGACCGGCGGGUACCAGGUGAGAAGGAAGGGCGGUGAGAUUACCAGAGAACGCCGCCCGCCGGAGCGCGGAGUCCCGGGGACAGGGCAGCUUGGUGCCCGCACCGGCCGGCCACAUCGCCCUGUGGGAGGGAAGAUCAGCUGCCACCACCGUCUCUGCUUCUCGGGUCUUUGACCCUCCGCGGUCCCGCGAGGGCGAUGUCCGCCGGCGAAGCAGCUCAGAGUCGCUCGGAGCUCUGAGCGCAGCCGGCGAGCUUCGCAGCGCUCAGCAGCCGCUUUGGAGCAGCGGCCAUAGGGACCCUCGGGUCCCCAGUUGUUGUCGCCUCCUACACCUCUGAGGACUGCCUUGACUCCCGCCCGAGGCUCGGCGCCGCAGCGCAGGAGGUCAGCGUGGAGGAUGCUACGCGGGCGGUGCCAGGUUGCACCGAGAAGAGCCCGCUCCUCUCCUGGAGCCCGUAGCCAUGUCCCUACUGGUGUCCACCGCGGGAGGAGGGGGCAGCCGGGCGUCGGGGACCUGGCGGAGGACCAGAGCAGGUCAAAGUUUAGGAGACGGUGGCAGGAGUCGGUCAGGACUCUCAGAAACAACGCGGCUCACGGGGCGGCUGCGGUGUAGAUGCGCGGGCUGGGGGCAGCCCGGGGACCUCUUGGUUUCCUAGGAGGACUCGCACCAGAACCCCAGGCGGCUCCCUCAGUGAAGGACAGGAGAUCGAUCUGCCCGAGAUUCCUGCUAUCCUCCCUCGAACUCCCCUAAAGGUCAAACCAGCUCUGUGCAUUUGCGGGAAUCCAGUCGCGCGGGCGUCUGCAAGCCUUUGCCAAGUCCCCCAAAGUUCAAUGCUCCUCCACACCACACGCCAAGGGGCUGGAGCAUUAAAGCUCCAGGCAUUGAGAAAGGUUCUCCCUGCCUCUCGUGGCGUGGGAGGACACGUCUCGCCUCGGCGCUCUCUCCCCACGCUCGUGCAAUCGGGGGAUUUUUAUAGCUAAGCCACGAUGCUCACGUGGCCCUCCCCGCGUGGUCGCGGACCCUUUUGGGGAGCGAGUCUCUGCGGGCAGUUCUCCUAGACCUUUAAAGGACCAGGGAGCCUCCCUGCUCCCGCUGAGAAGCCUUUCCUGGCUGUUCGCCCUCCUGUGGGCGCGCAGGAACCAGGCGGCUUCCAGGGCAUUGGGAGCCCCACGCAGUAGUGGGUGUGAGCUCUGGCUCAAGGGAAGGAUGCAACUACAGAGAAAGACUCUCUGCCACGCCCCACUUCUGGCAAAGUGCAAGGGGCCUUUGUUUGGGGGCCUAGGUGGCAAAGUUGGCUCAAGGUUGUUGGUAAUCUGCACUCACUGAAGGGGCCUGAAUCACUUUCUUUGAGGGGGAUCAGACUGUGCAUCCUGGGGCCAGGGUCUGAACAUCUGCAGGAUCCCAAGUGGCAUGAGAUGCAGAGAAGUCCAAAUGUGUAAUUGCCGUCACCCUCUGAAACCCUACAAACUCCAGGAGAGGAGAUAAGAGUGAUUUUAUUGAAUGGGGAAGUAGGAAGAAGGGAGUAUUUGGAGCCUGCCUUGAAGCUGGACCUUCAGAUUUCUCAUUCUGAGGUUGGGUCAGGAUCAUAUUUUAGAGAGCAAACACAGCCCAUCCCACCCCACCCUCGAGACUGGGGAGAGGAUGGGUGGGUACAAAGCUUAGUUGGUUGCUCGUAUUUCUAAUUACCAGUUCUUAGAAACUGAGGUAGUAGGAUUUUUGCUAGUGCCAGGACAGGCCAGCCUGGACUAUAUACAGUGUGAGACCCUGUCUCAAACAAAAUGAUAGCUAGUCGCUUCAUGGCAUGUUUAUCUUCUCACCUGAAGACUCCUAUCCUGGGCAUCUUCUGGCAUCCCCAUCGUCUGCACUUCCUCUGGGUCCUGAGGGUGGCAGUGAAGUCCUACAUAGUGCUGUUUACAGUCUUAGAGCACCCCACACCCAACACUCAUUCUGGGCUAACCUCUUUGGAAGAACUGGGUCUCUAGGUUUUUAAGGCUCCAACUACUCCUGAGAGUCUGAAGCAGACAGCACUUGUUACUGUGUGAUGAUUUCACAGAACCCAUGAAGAAUUCCUGUGGAUAACCUAGCCAGCUAGUCAAUUAAUUCAUUCUAGCGAAUCAGCUUUUCAAAAUCACUAUUUCCAAGUAGGAAGGCAAUCGGGAGCAGAAUCCAGAGACUCUCGCCCUCCAUGGCCCCUGGUUAUGUACUGAAAAUUCUGUAACAGGUAAUGAAUGCAGAGUGCUGGCCACUGCUCCAGCCUUUACGAAGAUAUAGUAUCCAUCCCAGGGAAAGGGUCAGGACUACAUUAUGCCUCACCUCCCAGCAGUUAAAACAAUAUGGAUAAAAUGUUUACAGAGUGUCACCUGCCUGAAUCCUCCUCCCCUCUCUUAUUUAUAUUUCUGUUUUUAGACUCAAGAUUAGUGUUUGUUUCCUUCAGAUCUUGCUCCAGUGUUGAAUUUUCUUUGAAUGACUUUGGGGUUUUUGGCAGCCUUUGUAACCUAAUUAACUUCUAGACAGGCUGAAGUUUAGCAUCUGCCUGUGUCACUGCCGACCAAGCCUGCAGAAGAGAGAUUUGUCACUGUUCAUAGCAUAGUCACUGCACCACCACCUUUGCUGGAGGUAAAGCUAAGCAUCUUUUGAGUAGUGGGGAGGCAUCUGCUUAAAGAUACAGAAUUGCCUACAUCACUCCCACCCAGCCUCCUCCCUUACACUCUCCUAAUCUAUCUCUUUUUAACAGUCUGAAAACAAAGAUUGAUUUCUCAGCAUGCAGAUAGCACAAAGGAGAGGCCACCCAUAAUGGUAAGAUUUAAGUGUCAAUUCCUAUGGUUUUUCAGCUUGAUGAAUUAGAUUAUUGGUUGCUCAUUAGAUAGAUAGAAAGUCCAGAUUUUGGAGGCUACUUAAUUUUUAUCUUUGUUUCAAAAUUUUCAGUAUUUACUGAAGUUUUAUUUACUAAUUAAUAUGGGGUCCUUUGGGAGAACGACUAGAGCUUUUCAUUGCCAAGCCACUUCUCCAGCCCUAUUUGUUGUCCUUUCAGAAAUACUGAUAAAAAGAAUUUUAUUUUAAAUGUUGUAAAUACUUGCUUAGGUUGUAAAUAGGUUGGAAAUUAAAAGUGUACCAUCUUCUUUGUCUAUUAUAAACAAUGACAACAAAAAAGAAGUUUUAUUGCAUUUUUGCAUAUAGGAGAGCAAGGUUAGAAAAAUUCCACCAGAAAUUACUAAUACAAGGUCAUAAAGCUAAUCUACAGUAGAGCCACGAUCCAGGUAUUAAUGCUCCUGUCAAAGAUUUUUUGCAACAUAAUAAAUCCAUGUCUGGUCUUGGUUGAGAUUUUUUUUUUAACAACCAAGAUUAUGGCUGCUUCCAAGAAAGAGCACAUAGGUCUAUACUCCUUCCUCUGUUUUUUAUGUUUCUAUUUUUUUCAUUACAAUCCCAUAGGGAAAUCAAUACCAUUCCAGAAACAGGCAGGAGAUUUUAAAGCACCUAGAAAUGAGAAGAGAAAGGAGUCCUGGAACAUGGGUCCAAGACCAUGCUGCUAAAAACCAUUCCCUUCUCUUGUCUCACCCACCCUAGCUAGCAGGCUAGAAGUCCUUAUAAAAUAGUGGUGCCAGCUCUUUCUAAUACUGACCUGUGGGAAGGUGAAAUCACUGAUAGGCUCCUUCUAUUCACUGGGCUGGAAAGAGUCAUUUGCUUAUAGAUUCUAUCCUUCUUGAUAGAGAAGUUAAUGACCUUGAAAUAAAUCGUAAUUCCAUUAAACCAUUAUCUUGUGAUAUUGCUAUACUGAGCACUCCCUGUAUGAUACACACUGUUUUAAGCUUUAAUUAGUAUUUUACUUAAUUAUAUUGCAUUAAGGGUCUUGGUCUAGCAAGUCCUAUCUCCAGUUUAGCAUCCUGUCUUAGACACUAUAGUCCCUGUAUACCCUUUUAAAAAUCAUUACUUUUUAUUUUAAUACAUUUAAAAUUAAAAUAGAAUUACAUUGCUUUCCUUCUCCCUGUCUUCCCUUCAGCUUCUUUCAAGUGCCCUGUCAACUUCUUCCAUGCCCUCCCUCUCAAACUGAUAGCCUCUUUCUCACUCUUGUUACAUAUAAAUGUAUGUUUAAUUAUACAUAAAUAUUUAAAUACAUCGCACUAAGUUCAUUUUUCUUUUUUUUAAAAUUAUUUAUUUAUUAUUAUAUCUAAGUACACUGUAGCUGUCUUCAAACACACCAGAAGAGGGUGUCUGUCAGAUCUCAUUAUGGAUGGUUGUGAGUCAUCAUGUGGUUGCUGGGAUUUGAACUCAGGACCUUCAGAAGAGCAGUCAGUGCUCUUAACCGCUGAGCCAUCUCUCCAGCCCCCAAGUUCAUUUUUCUUAUCUUUGUGUAUGUGGUUUCAGGGCUGACCACUUUGUAUUGGCAUCAUCCCUGGGGUAGGCUCAGCAGACAUUCCUUGUCUGUCAUUGUUUGUAUAGGUGGGACGCCAAUGGACACAAUGGAGUACUACUCAGCUAUUAAAAAGAAUGAAUUUAUGAAAUUCCUAGCCAAAUGGAUGGACCUGGAGGGCAUCAUCCUGAGUGAGGUAACACAUUCACAAAGGAACUCACACAAUAUGUACUCACUGAUAAGUGGAUAUUAGCCCAAAACUUAGGAUACCCAAGAUAUAAGAUACAAUUUGCUAAACACAUGAAACUCAAGAAGAAUGAAGACUGAAGUGUGGACACUAUGCCCCUCCUUAGAAGUGGGAACAAAACACUCAUGGAAGGAGUUACAGAGACAAAGUUUGGAGCUGAGACGAAAGGAUGGACCAUGUAGAGGCUGCCAUAUCCAGGGAUCCACCCCAUAAUCAGCUUCCAAACGCUGACACCAUUGCAUACACUAGCAAGAUUUUAUCAAAAGGACCCAGAUGUAGCUGUCUCUUGUGAGACUAUGCUGGGGCCUAGCAAACACAGAAGUGGAUGCUCACAGUCAGCUAUUGGAUGGAUCACAGGGCUCCCAAUGGAGGAGCUAGAGAAAGUACCCAAGGAGCUAAAGGGAUCUGCAACCCUGUAGGUGGAACAACAUUAUGAACUAACCAGUACCCCGGAGCUCUUGACUCUAGCUGCAUAUGUUUCAAAAGAUGGCCUAGUCGGCCAUCACUGGAAAGAGAGGCCCAUUGGACUUGCAAACUGUAUAUGCCCCAGUACAGGGAAAUGCCAGGGCCAAAAAAAAAAAAAAAAAAAAAUGGGAAUGAGUGGGUAGGGAAGUGGGGGGGGGGGGGAGGGUAUGGGGAACUUUUGGGAUAGCAUUGGAAAUGUAAUUGAGGAAAAUAUGUAAUAAAAAAAUAAAUAAAAAAGAAAUUUCCCACG